rnacentral:rRNA from 1 species
UACAGAGGGGGCAAGCGUUGUUCGGAAUUACUGGGCGUAAAGGGCGCGUAGGCGCCUGUUAAGUCGAACGUGAAAUCCCCGGGCUCAACCCGGGAACUGCGUCCGAUACUGGCAGGCUUGAAUUCGGGAGAGGGAUGUGGAAUUCCAGGUGUAGCGGUGAAAUGCGUAGAUAUCUGGAGGAACACCGAUGGCGAAGGCAGCCCCUGGGCUA